rnacentral:rRNA from 1 species
UACGGAGGGGGCUAGCGUUGUUCGGAAUUACUGGGCGUAAAGCGCACGUAGGCGGCUUUGUAAGUUAGAGGUGAAAGUCCGGGGCUCAACCUCGGAUCGGCCGUGGCGACUCGUGGGCUGGAGCACUGUAGAGGCGGGUGGAAUUCCGGGUGUAGCGGUGGAAUGCGUAGAGAUCCGGAAGAACACCAGUGGCGAAGGCGGCCCGCUGGGCAGUGGCUGACGCUGAGGCGCGACAGCGUGGGGAGCAAACAGG